AAAUUGAAGAGUUUGAUCAUGGCUCAGAUUGAACGCUGGCGGCAGGCCUAACACAUGCAAGUCGAACGGUAACAGGAAGCAGCUUGCUGUUUUGCUGACGAGUGGCGGACGGGUGAGUAAUGUCUGGGAAACUGCCUGAUGGAGGGGGAUAACUACUGGAAACGGUAGCUAAUACCGCAUAACGUCGCAAGACCAAAGAGGGGGACCUUAGGGCCUCUUGCCAUCGGAUGUGCCCAGAUGGGAUUAGCUAGUAGGUGGGGUAACGGCUCACCUAGGCGACGAUCCCUAGCUGGUCUGAGAGGAUGACCAGCCACACUGGAACUGAGACACGGUCCAG
rnacentral:rRNA from 1 species